UCUUCGAUGGCGGAGUGGUUAACGCACCCAACUAGGGACUGGGAGACCGCAGGUUCGAUUCCUGCUUGAAGAC